CAAGCAUUAACCUUCAAAUAAAACUUCAAACAAGCAACAGAUUUAGAAUCUUGAACAACUUUAGGGAAUAAAUUCCAAAGAUUAUCACCAGUCUAACAGACUGCUUUCUACUCUCCACUUAUGCCUCUUCAGGUCAUUAGAUCUUUGAGCAAAUAGCGCUGAUGAAGAGAUCAGCUGACGUCAGUGGAAAUUCCAGGUGCAGAAUGAAUACAGAACACAGCCUGUUGUCAUUUUGGAAAGUAACAAAAUAUAACAUGGGCAUUUGUGAAGGGUUUCUAGAUGCAAAGGUUGCAAAACACAUCAUACCAUCAUACUUGGUAAGAGUUCACAAGAGUUAGGAGUUUCUCAAACUAGUAAACAGAAUUCAAGGCAAAAUAGUUUGUGUAUUUCUAAGAUUAUAAAAGCAUCAGCUAUAUAUCUUUCCCUUGCAAAUGGCAGCCAAGAAUCAUGAGAUGAAAGAUGUGUGUUAGCCCUGCUGCUCACGUCACCAGGUUACUUUUCUAUGAGGAUAUAUUCAUCAUUUUGUUUACAAGGAGAUUUAAAAAAAAAAAAAAAAAAAAAAAGGAGAAAAUGAAUGGGCAUGGCAGAUUUUAAAUAAUGAUUAAAAUUAUUAAAUUAUUUUAAAAAAAGAUGUUAUUGAUUUAAUUGUACUUCUCUGAUUGCUAU
rnacentral:lncRNA from 1 species